rfam:Pan troglodytes isolate Yerkes chimp pedigree #C0471 (Clint) chromosome 6, whole genome shotgun sequence.
GCUGGGUGUGGUGGCGCGCAUCUGUAAUCCCAGCUACUCUGGAGGCUGAGGCAUGGGAAUCUCUUGAACCCAGGAGGCAGAGGUUGCAGUGAGCAGAGAUUGUGCCACUGCACUCUAGCCUGGGUGAUAGAGUGAGAAUCAGUCUCAA